rnacentral:ncRNA from 1 species
GCUUCCGAUCCGAACGGUGACGUUGAUCGCCGCCUUCCCCGCAAAGGGAUAGGAUCGGGAGUUUUC